rnacentral:lncRNA from 1 species
AUUAAUGAGUCCUACAAAUUAGAUAUAAUUAUUAACUAACACACCCCACACAAAUAAAAUAUCAAGAUAUCCUUCUCUUUUCACUUUUCAUUUUUGACAUUCCCCGUAUCUAUUUUCUCUCUCUGAAACUUUCAUUUUCUUAUUGAUCCUCCCUUGAGAUAUCAGAAGAUCAAGAAAUAGAUAGCUAUGGCGGUGGUGGGUACUUCGUCGACGAGAAAGCCGUCCGUAUCGAAAACAUCUUCUUGAAGUUCCUUAAGAGGUUUGUUUCAGUUUUUAUUUGUUUUUUUUCACAUUUUCUCCCCUUUUCAUCUUUCUGGAUAUGACAUUGUGCUAUCAGUUUUCGACUGGACUUAACUCACGUGAGUCAUAUUACGAGUCAGAGAUAGAAGCCAUGAGACCUAAUGAGUCCAAUACCAUGUUCAUUGAUUUCUCGCAUGUUAUGCGUUUCAAUGAUAUUACAAAUGUAAACUAGUUGCUAUUAUCUACAGCUUAUAAAUGUAGUUAUUAGUUGUAAAAAUCUAUGUUUUAAUUGGUUGUUAAAUUUUAGCUUAGCAGUCUUAAUUUUGUAGAUUAAUUGUAGUUGAUUAUCUACAGUUUAUUUUCUGUAGUUAUUUUGUAGUCAUGUAGAUUAGUUGUGUUAAUUAUGAUGUAUAAAUUAUAGUUAUAAUUAUCUACGACUUUAUAGAUGUAGUUAUUUUGUAGUCAUAUCGCUUAGUUGUCUUAAUUUUAUAGAUUAAUUGUAGUUGCUACUUUUUAUAUAUUUACAAAUGUUAUUAUUUUGCAGUAGAUAGUUCUUACUAGUUUUUUUUGAAGAAUUAUGUAGAUAUUAUAUAGAUUAAUGCUUAUUUUUUAUGCUAAUAUGAAAUAAUUUUUAUUUUGUGCAGAAUGGACAACAUUUCGCAACACAUAAGUGAGGUUAUAGGCAGGCUAGCAAGGAGAAAAGGUGCUCCCACUUUGAAUGAGAAGACUGAAUUGCAUAGAAAGAAGAAAUAGUCUACUGUUUUCCUAAUUUAGUUGCUGCAAAUUUGUAGUUAAAGGAGAAUGAUCUACUUUUUUGGAAACAAUAUCAGCUUAUUGUGUUUAAUUUUGUAGUUGUAUAUGUUAAUCAUUUUUAUGAAAUACCUUCAAGUUAUGAUUAAACAAUAAACAUAAAAAUAGAUACUAUAAUCGUUUA